rnacentral:rRNA from 1 species
CGGUGGUGCUGCGUGGAAGGGCCAUCGCUCAACGGAUAAAAGCUACCCGGGGGAUAACAGGCUUAUCUCCCCCAAGAGUCCACAUCGACGGGGAGGUUUGGCACCUCGAUGUCGGCUCAUCACAUCCUGGGGCUGUAGUAGGUCCCAAGGGUUGGGCUGUUCGCCCAUUAAAGUGGUACGCGAGCUGGGUUCAGAACGUCGUGA